rnacentral:rRNA from 1 species
AGCAGCCGCGGUAAUUCCAGCUCCAAUAGCGUAUAUUAAAGUUGUUGCAGUUAAAAAGCUCGUAGUUGAAUUUCGGGGUCAGUAGAUUGGUCGUGCCUCUGGUACGUACUGGUCUUACUGGCUCCUCCUUCCUGAUGAACCGUAAUGCCAUUAAUUUGGUGUUGCGGGGAGACUGGACUGUUACUUUGAAAAAUUAGAGUGUUUAAAGCAGGCUAACGCUUGAAUACAUUAGCAUGGAAUAAUGAAAUAGGACGUUCGAUCUUAUUUUGUUGGUUUCUAAGAUUGACGUAAUGAUUAAUAGGGAUAGUUGGGGGCAUUAGUAUUCAAUUGUCAGAGGUGAAAUUCUUGGAUUUAUUGAAGACUAACUACUGCGAAAGCAUUUGCCAAGGAUGUUUUCAUUAAUC